rnacentral:lncRNA from 10 species
GAGCUUGGGAGCGCGAGGGAAGGAGCUGAAGGGGCGGGUCCGUGGGAGGCGAAGGCAGGGGAAAUGUGUGUCUGCAUUUUUUAAUUUGCAGGGGAUAUUUUCCGUCCCCUUUGUCCCGUAAGCCUCUGCUUUUUGGAUGAAAACGUUGGCUUUACCACCCUCUCUCUCCUUCCCGCACGCGCACACCUUGAAGGCAUCCUACCAGGCGGUGACCGCAGAGGAAGCACCCAGAGCCACAGUUCUUGCCUUGUCAGCUGCUCCCACCACGUCCCCAGAAAGCUCCGGAGGCAGAGUCUCGUUCUAUCACCCAGGCUGGAGUGCAGCGGGGCGAUCUCUGUUCAUUACAACCUCCGCCUCCCGGGUUCAAGCGAUUCUCCUGUCUCAGCCUCCUGAGUAGCUGGGAUUAUAGAGGGUCUUACUUUGUCGCCCAGGCUGGAGUACAGUGGCAUGAUCGUAGCUCAUUGCAGCCUCCACCUCCCUGGGCUCAGGAGAUCCAUCUCAGCCUCCUGAGUAGCUGGGACCACAGGUUUUGUUCAGGUUUAGCACAAGCUGUGAUGAAUAUCUUCAAGCCUCUGCUUCCUGCUGUGGAAUUGUUGCCAAAGGACACAUUCCCAGAUGGGAUUACUGAGUCAGAGGAAGUGGACAUUGAGUGGCUCUCAACAGACAGGCUGUGUUGCUCUCACAGUGCCCAGGUACCACCAGCAAUGUAUACACAUACAGGAAGCGCCGGCUUCCCUGUUGUCUUGUUGCUGUGGCGUGUUGGGGUCUCUAAGACCACCCUGGGUUUGUUGAUUGGCUAGGAGAACUCGCAGAACUCAGCAUACAGUGAUACUCGAGGCUAUGAUGUAUUACGACAACUGGAAAUGAAGCAAAUUCAGCAAAGGAAAAAGGCACAUGGGUCAAGUCCAGAGGAAAUGGAGUGUGAGGGUCCAAGACCCUCUCACAUGCUGGACGCGCCCACUUCCCCCAGAAGUGUGUUGGGACAACACGUGUGGAAUGUCAUUUGUCAGGGACACUCACUAGAGAUUUGGCACCGAGGGUUUUACUGCAGGCUAGUCACAAAGGCCCCCUCUGCCUAGCAUGUACCAAAAUUCUGGACUCCCAGUACGAAGACAUAAACCACAGUGUUUACACAGUUUAGGGGCAGUGAGCCAUUCAUAUCAGGGAAGGGCGGGAACCCUCCCCAAAUCCAAUUUCCCAGAUACGAACCAAGGGCCAACCUUGCAAGCAGUCCUUGCUAAAGAUAACAUUGCUAUAAUUUGUAUUUCUUUCAUUUUUCUUUUGAGAGUAAAUCAUUUCGAUAUAAAAUAAUGAGAUGGGACCUGGCCAUCCGAAGGUUCAUUCACUCUCAAGGCUGGAGGUUGAUGCCAGCUGUCGGCUGUGACCUCAGGUGGGUCUGGCGGCCAGCUGCGGCCCCUCCAUGUGGCUUGGGCUUCUCUCCAGUGUGAAGUGGCUGUGUUUCAAGGAUGAGGAACUGACAAAGAGGGAACCAGGUGGAAGCAGUGUCACCUUUUCUAUCCUAACCACAGAAGCCACCCUGUGCCACUUCUACCACAUUGUUUAUUAGAAACAAGUAUGAAUACUGGCCCAUAUUCAAAGGGAGGAGAAUUAAACUCCACUUUUGAUGGGAGGAGGAUCAAAUAAUUUAUAGAGGUUAUUUAAAACCAUCACAAACAUAUUAGAUUUGCCAUGUUUAGGCAUUUAUUCUGCAAAAAAACAUACAAAUGUGCAAAGUUACUUGAGGCUAUUUUCUGCAGUGUUAUUUGUGUUAGUUAAAAAAAAAAAGGAAACAAUCUAAAUGUCCAUCAAGGGUCAGGUGCAGUGGCUCACGCCUGUGAUCCC